AAGUUACCAACAGUUUUCUACUUGUUUCGUACUUUGGAACCAUGUGAAUUCCGCAGUAACCACCAAUUACACACCGCCUAUAGUCACAAUAGCAGGCAGACAAAACCCACAUAAAGUAUAAAAUCUAGAUGACUCGUGACAAAAAAUAGUCUGGUAUACGGUAUUUCACUUGAAAAUAUGUUACAGCAAUAGGUUCGACACAGAGAUCGAGUAUAUUUUAAACUCGAUUUGUGAAGUUUACUGUCACUGUCAUUACUAAUAAAGCAACGAUAUUAUUUGAAUAUAUUGGUAUGUAUUUAAACCACUGCAGCAUUUGCCAAAUGCAAAGUUUAAAAGAACUAGCAUACGUUCAAAAAAACAGAACGCUAUAAUUGCCUGCAUACUAAUGCUGAAUUAAGCCGACGAGUUCUUAUUUCUAGGUCAUGAGCGGACCCUAUACUGUAUGUAAGUCUCCCUUUUAUCGUGUCCUGGUAGGACAAGGUUACACAUAGAAAAAACUGACAAAUCAAAAACGCAUCUCCCAAAUCCUUGUCCAAACACAACCAAUUCCUGAAUUCUUUAAAACUUGUAAUGAAAAUUGUACUUCGAAGAAUUGAUAACAUAAGACAGAAAGAUGAAAUGCUCAGCAAUACACAAUCAUCACAAUAGACGAUCAGGAAUGACAGAAUGAUAAAUGAAAGAUGGUUUUAUCAAACAAAAUAUUAUGUCUUAGAACACUUAUACCUAAAUUUUCCCAAAUUCAGUAAUGAUCCAAAUAUAAAUAAAUAACAUACCGAUAAUAUUUAUGACACCGGGUGAAAAAACUUUGUGAAUCCACGAGAAUACUUCACAAUCUGUUAAUAAUGACAAUAUUUAAUACACAAGCAUUAGUAAACUUCAAAUUAUACGGCUCAAACUAUUAAGAAUCUUCCCCAAAAAUCAUUGCAUAAAACAUUCUGAAAACAUCAGUACACUGUCUUCACAGCAACAAAUAUACGUUACAAUAUAUUAACACCAAGGGCAACAACCCAAUAGGAAUCCAGUUUCUAACUAAUUUAGAUGUCUAAGUCAUCUGAAAGAUAAAAACAAUAGGCAAAUCACAAUAAUACCGACACAAAGAAACUUCAAAAACCUGAAUUGGCAGCAACACUUUCUGCUGCUAAAAUGGCACGAGUAUGGUGCAAUAUUCGUUAGAACUUGACUCAAUAGCGCCUACAUGCGACAACAAUAUUAUUGUUAAACAAUUACACUCGGAAGUCUCGGAUCUUGACGUAAAACUGCGUAAACCUACUAAUUUAUCGGUCGAUUUCUGCAAGGUUAAAUUUAAAAAAAUUGUGUCUCGUAGACGAAGUUCACUUGAUGUAAGCAGUCAAAGCCAAAAAUCUUAUAAAAUUAUAUAGAAUCAAAUUCGCCACGAAAAUAUUUCCGUGAUAACCCAUUUUCAAAAUUGUAGUCGCAGUAACUUCAGAAUGAAGUCAACAAUUAGCAACAGCGUGUAAAGCUUUUGUACGAGUAUAAUAUUGGCUAAUAAGCAAGUUGUCGACGGUGACGCAGCAAUGUCCAUCCAAUCAGGCCCAUUGUCAGGCGUGGUGAUGGAUAUAACAUCGCUUCCGUGAUCUUGCUUUGUAAUUGUCAGUUUUUAGCUAUAAGCCCAAAGUUUAGGCAUAAAUCAACAGUCAUUUGGCCUUCUACAGCGCCUUUAUAAAUUAUUUAAUAGGAACCCUUUGAGCAUCAUUGUGGCAACUGAUGCAUCACCGGAUCAGAAGUAGUAGCAAAACAAGGUGAAAGGACUAGCAGUCUAAUACAUAAUGGCUAGUACCCUCUGUCUAACACAGAAAAGAAAAGGUAAAAGUAGUACGCUUGAUUUGCCAUGAUCAAAAGUAGAGCGUGGCUUCCAAAGGGAGGAUAACAUUACUGUAAAUAUUCUAGUGACGAUGGAAGUGGCACAUCUUCGCGAUGAGUUAUUGUUGUCGAAUUUGUCGGGGUAUCGUAUCAGACAGUUAUGCGAUAUGCCGUUUAAUUCACACUCGCAUCAACAUUGAGAUAAAUGUUAUAGUUCACUGCAUGCGGAUGUGUGGAUUUAAAAUUCGUUGGAGCGUUAUUUAGCACAUACAACACUACGUUUUGGACAAUUUCCUGUGCGCUGUGAAAGCAAGUAUACAUGAUAGUUCGAAACAGCAAGACAGGCAGGAUUAGUUUAUCUGUUCAGAUGUAGUAUCGAACUUGAUAGCAUCAGCGUCGCCACGUCAGAGCUUAUUUCCGGACUUUUAAGAAGAUUUUUUCUGUUUUGGAUUCGGCAUUUCUAACAGAGUUGUACAGUACUUUCGGCGGUAUUUUCAUGCAUAGUUCAUUAAAUACAAGUUUAAGUUGUUACGUAAUAAUGGUUAUAUGAAUGUCAUAAAACGGCUUUGAGUCCUUCGGUUGCGACUUGCGAAAGGACCCAUAGCACAAAAAAAUGAAGAAUGAUAAAAUAUCAAUAAUGCUAACGAAUGAGUUUAUGAUAAUUUGUUGAGUCUGUAAUUUUAUUCAGCAAAUUGAUCGAGAUAAGUUUGCUCCCAGUCAAUAACCUCACAAAGAAGUAUGUUAGAUUUGGUAUUCACAACGCUGACUGAUUUUGAAUAUAUAAUGUUUGGUUUGCCUUUAGCACAUUUUUGUGGCAAAGCUCUUCAUUAUCCAACACGAGAUUUAGAUAAAGCGGUAAUCUUCUAGUGUAAAGUACCGAAAUAAUUUCUAAAGCAUGUAGGAAUGAGAUCGAACAUGUUAACUUGAAUGGUUCAUUGUUUUAUUCUUUUGGACACAGAAUAAACACGAUGUGUUCCAGGGUAGACACCAAGCACCCUCGAAAUACAAUUAAAAGCUACCUCGCGUACGUUAUCGGUAUAUUUUUUGUUUAUACUGCUUUUGCUUUUGUGAUGUUUCAACAGUCAAGCAUUAAUAUUAAAGAUGGUUUAGGUACAAUAUCCUUGGCCUGUUCGUAUAUAUCAUCUAUCGUAUUUGGACUGAUAUUCACUCCCAUACUUAUACGGAGAUUUGGCGUGAAGAAAUGCAUACUUUUAAGUGAAGCGACAUACGCUACAUACAUUAUAUCCAAUUACUAUCCAGAGUAUUACACGAUGCUUCCUGGUGCUUUACUUCUGGGGGCUGGAGAAGCAACAUUGUGGCCUUGUAUCACAAUGAUGAAUGUCUACUACGGGAGGCAAUAUUCUGAUCGUAUUAAAAAUCGAAAUAAAUCUUAUGAAUAUUAUGUUGGGCUGUUCUCCGGUUAUUACUUUGCCAUUCAUCAUUGCAAUAAGGUGAUAUGCGGAUUGAUCUCAUUUUUUACACAAAACCUAUUUCAUGAUCAAUUCGACGAAAGAAAAAAUCUUACAAGCAAUUCAACAAAGAUAAUAUUUCACCAAAAUGAAACACAUGAAGUCUUCCAGAAUAUGUUUCAACAUUGCGGUGCCAACGACUGCCAAGACGUUGAAGUUGUCGAAGAAACUAUAGAAAAGUAUACCCCAACCGACAAUAUCAAAUUAAUCAUUUUGAUAUCAUUUCUGUUGCUAAUCUGUUUGUUGCCUAUUAUAGUUCAUGUUAUUGUGUUACCCAAUGUAACCACGCAUGCAUUAACUUUGCCUACAACUGUAGCAGAGGUUGAAGCACUGGAAAUUUGUAGCGAUGGCAAUUUGGAUGACAGUGACUUUAUGAAAGAAGCAGAAUUUGUUCAUGUGAGAAAAAAGUCGGUGGAAGCUGCUGAGAAACCAUCAGUGAAGUUUUCUCAGAUUAGUGCUACGACGAUUUCAGAGAAGAAUGAACCUCAUGAGAUGGCAGUUUUACAAACGUUGAAUGAAGUUGUAAAACAAAUGCUUGUUGGGGAGCAGUUACUCAUAAUACCCUUCACGAUAUAUAAUGGGAUGUUGAUUUCUUUUGCAGUUUCUGAAUUAACAAGAUCUUAUGUUUCUUGUAUUAAUGGGUUUUCAAAAAUUGGAUUCUAUGUGGCUGUGUUUGGAGCCGGUCAUGCCAUUUCCGCGUACAUGUUCAACAAAACAAGGAGAAAAAUUGGACAAACCUUUUUGUUCCUCAUAUGUGUUAGUUUGGAUCUUCUCAACCUUAUAUUCUGUUUACAUUGGAAUCCAAAUCAGGAAAAUUCUUGGAUGGUUUAUAUUGUGUAUUUGUGCUUUGGACUUACUGAUGGAAUUUGGCAACCCGGCAUAAAUAGUAAGUAGUAGAACUAUUUGUUUUAUACAAAUCAUGGCACGCUUCAGCAUGAAGUUUCCAUUUUAUAUUCGGUAUCUUAAAAAGUGAGUCAAUGUUUUUUAUUGUAAUGAGCGACCACUUUAUCAAUUAAAAAUUAAUUAAAUGUGCCGAAUCCUAAUUCUUUCUUGCGAUUGUUAAAUUAAUAACUUCAAGUAAACACAAAAGUGACCGCUGGUUUGAUCCCGUUUCCCAACUGAAGAAUAUCCCCCUCCCCUAACCCACCUAGACCGAUAAUACCAGUUGAUCUUUUAUUUGACCUGGACUAAUUAUUUGGUAGGGUUAAGGAUAGAUAGUCUUAGUUGGGGUGGAGAUUCUACAGUUGGUCUAACUUGGGGUGGAGAUUCUUCGGUUGGGCCAGCCGGUUUCUGAAUUUGCAAAUGCAAUCACAUUCAUUUCGGACCUCCUGAAGUAUGCGCACCAAGAUGGCGCACAACCUGAACUCAGGUUGUGUACCAGGUUAGGGUUCAGGUUAUACGACAUAUUGGUGCGCAUACUUCAGGAGUACCUUCAUUUCAGUAUCAAAAUGGGAUUCACAGACUACAAAUAGGGGGUAGCCCCCAUUGUUGUAUGUGGAAUAUUUCCCUGACAAUCAAUAUAUUGCUGGGUCUGUAUGGACUGUUCUAAUUCACGUUGGAAUGGGAAUACAAUUUGCCUGGAGUGGAAGUUUCUGC